rnacentral:rRNA from 1 species
GACGAACGCUGGCGGCGUGCUUAACACAUGCAAGUCGAACGGAAAGGCCCUGCUUUUGUGGGGUGCUCGAGUGGCGAACGGGUGAGUAACACGUGAGUAACCUGCCCUUGACUUUGGGAUAACUUCAGGAAACUGGGGCUAAUACCGGAUAGGAGCUCCUGCUGCAUGGUGGGGGUUGGAAAGUUUCGGCGGUGGGGGAUGGACUCGCGGCUUAUCAGCUUGUUGGUGGGGUAGUGGCUUACCAAGGCUUUGACGGGUAGCCGGCCUGAGAGGGUGACCGGCCACAUUGGGACUGAGGUACGGCCCAGACUCCUACGUGAGGCAGCGGUGGGGAAUAUUGCACAAUGGGCGGAAGCCUGAUGCAGCAACGCCGCGUGCGGGAUGACGGCCUUCGGGUUGUAAACCGCUUUCGCCUGUGACGAAGCGUGAGUGACGGUAAUGGAUAAAGAAGCACCGGCUAACUACGUG